rnacentral:rRNA from 1 species
UGAUCGAGCGGUAGCACAGAGAGCUUGCUCUCGGGUGACGAGCGGCGGACGGGUGAGUAAUGUCUGGGAAACUGCCUGAUGGAGGGGGAUAACUACUGGAAACGGUAGCUAAUACCGCAUAACGUCGCAAGACCAAAGUGGGGGACCUUCGGGCCUCAUGCCAUCAGAUGUGCCCAGAUGGGAUUAGCUAGUAGGUGGGGUAAUGGCUCACCUAGGCGACGAUCCCUAGCUGGUCUGAGAGGAUGACCAGCCACACUGGAACUGAGACACGGUCCAGACUCCUACGGGAGGCAGCAGUGGGGAAUAUUGCACAAUGGGCGCAAGCCUGAUGCAGCCAUGCCGCGUGUAUGAAGAAGGCCUUCGGGUUGUAAAGUACUUUCAGCGAGGAGGAAGGCGUUAAGGUUAAUAACCUUGGCGAUUGACGUUACUCGCAGAAGAAGCACCGGCUAACUCCGUGCCAGCAGCCGCGGUAAUACGGAGGGUGCAAGCGUUAAUCGGAAUUACUGGGCGUAAAGCGCACGCAGGCGGUCUGUCAAGUCGGAUGUGAAAUCCCCGGGCUCAACCUGGGAACUGCAUUCGAAACUGGCAGGCUAGAGUCUUGUAGAGGGGGGUAGAAUUCCAGGUGUAGCGGUGAAAUGCGUAGAGAUCUGGAGGAAUACCGGUGGCGAACGCGGCCCCCUGGACAAAGACUGACGCUCAGGUGCGAAAGCGUGGGGAGCAAACAGGAUUAGAUACCCUGGUAGUCCACGCCGUAACGAUGUCGACUUGGAGGUUGUGCCCUUGAGGCGUGGCUUCCGGAGCUAACGCGUUAAGUCGACCGCCUGGGGAGUACGCCGCAAGGUUAAAACUCAAUGAAUUGACGGGGGCCCGCACAAGCGGUGGAGCAUGUGGUUUAAUUCGAUGCAACGCGAGACCUUACCUACUCUUGACAUCCAGAGACUUAGCAGAGAUGCUUUGGUGCCUUCGGAACUCUGAGACAGUGCUGCAUGGCUGUCGUCAGCCUCGUGUUGUGAAAUGU